AUUAAUGCAAGAGGACGAGAUAAGAGAGCAAGC
rnacentral:sRNA from 1 species